rnacentral:lncRNA from 1 species
GUAGAGCAUGUCUCUGGGUGAUGAGGUAGAGCAGGUCUCUGGGUGAGAGGUAGAGCAGGUCUCUGGGUGAGAGGUAGAGCAGGUCUCUGGGUGAUGAGGUAGAGCAGGUCUCUCUCUCUGGUAGGCGGUAGAGCAGUCUCUCUCUCUCGGAUGAGGCGGUAGAGCAGGUCUCUCUCUCUGGGUGAGGAGUGGAGCAGGCCUCUCUCUGGGUGAGGCGGUAGAGCAGGUCUCUCCUGGGUGAGGCGGUAGCGGUCUCUCGGUGGAGUAGGCAGGUCUCUGGGUGAGGAGGUAGAGCAGGUCUCUGGGUGAGGGGGUAGAGCAGGUCUCUGGGUAGGGGGUAGAGCAGGCUCUGGGUGAGGGGGUAGAGCAGGUCUCUGGGUGAGGGGGGUAGAGCAGUCCUCUGGUGAGGAGGUAGAGCGGUCUCUGGGUGAGGAGGUAGAGCAGUCUCUCUCUCUGGGUGAGGAGGUAGAGCAGUCGCUCUCUCUGGGUGAGGCGGUAGAGCAGGUCUCUGGGUGAGGGGGUAGAGCAGGUCUCUGGGUGAGGAGGUAGAGCAGGUCUGCUGUUGAGGAGGGGGUAGAGCAGGUCUCUCUGGGUAGGGAGGUAGAGCAGGUCUCUCUCUGGGCGAGGAGUUAGAGCAGUCUCUCUCUGCGUGAGGAGGUAAGCAGUCUCUCUCUGGGUGAGGAGGUAGAGCAGGUCCUCUCUGGGUGAGGAGUAGAGCAGGUCUCUCUGGGUGAGGAGGUAGAGCAGUCUCUCUCUGGGUGAGAGGUAGAGCAGGUCUCUCUGGGUGAGGAGGUAGAGCAGGUCUCUCUCUGGGUGAGAGGUAGAGCAGGUCUC